AGGAAGCAAAGGAUGGCCCAGUCGAUUCUGAUGCUGAGGAAGGCGAUGAUGAUGAUGCUGCUGAUGAAACAGAUAGUGAUGAUGCAGACGCCAAAUCAGAAACAAAGGAAGAUGUUACUGCCGCAGCUGAGGAAAAUGUUAAAGACGAGCUGUAGGAAAGUACGUGCGAGUGCUGUGGUUGGCCCAACAUGCUGCUGCGAAGAAAGAG